GACGGAGGGUGCUAGCGUUGUUCGGAAUGACUGGGCGUAAAGGGCGCGUAGGCGGCCGCUUGCGUCGGAUGUGAAAGCCCGGGGCUCAACCCCGGAACGGCAUCCGAUACGGGGCGGCUCGAGACCGAGAGAGGUGAGUGGAAUACCCAGUGUAGAGGUGAAAUUCGUAGAUAUCGGGAGGAACACCGGUGGCGAAGGCGGCCAUCUGGACGGAUACUGACGCUGAGACGCGAAAGCGUGGGUAGCAAACAGG
rnacentral:rRNA from 1 species